CAAAGCAACAUGAACCGUCUGUUUGGAGUGGACCUUCUGGUGGUUGCCGCGAUCGUAAUUGCUUUGAUCGUCAUGGUUCCGAAUGAAGCUUCUUGCCUCGGCGGCGCUAUUGGAGGAAUCAAAGCUCCCGAUAUGUCGGGCAAGAAGUGAAUUAUUGCGCAUCCGGAAUCAAGCUAUUCCACCCCUUUCAUGCUCUGCAUGACCGCUACGCCUGCAAUAAAAUGCCUCUUCAAGA
rnacentral:lncRNA from 1 species